rnacentral:lncRNA from 1 species
UAAAACCCAGGCCCGAGUAUACACCUAGGAUUAGCGUGGUCUCACGUCGCUCACAUGCCGGUUGGGCACAUUGUUGCGACGUGACAUACCACAAGCCGGACGAGGUUCAUCUGAGAAGUGCUUUUCCAGUGGGGUUUUCCACUUUGGUUGGGUUAUCUCUUUUGAACUAUUGACUCCGGUGACCGAUCAUUUCCUGGAUCUUUGGUUCAGACGAUCUUAAGGGAGCUACAAUGGCACACCCGAAAGGGCAAACCCAUUGAGUAUCUCUGCCCGAUCGUCGAGACUAUUAUCCGCCUUAGGAUGACCUGAUUAGAAUUUACCUGUGAGGGGAGGGUGGUUCUGUCAGAUGCAUGUUCAGAUGAUGGUGACUUUUUUGUUCCGCGGAUCAGAAUCCUAUUUAUAAGUCGGAUUUAUGGUCGUUUAUUGCCGAGACGCCGGAGUGUUGUCCGAGGUAUUUAUCAGUGGGGAUCCGUUUAUUUCAGGAUUCCCCGGGCCGAUUCAGAGAUCAGGGUUAUCUGUUCAGAGAUUGUUUGAUGAUGAUGAUGAUGAUGAUGGUGUAUCUGUCUUCCGUUUAUUUCGGAACCUUUGAGUUGGAUUUGUGGUUACAUAUUCCCUCAGAUGGUUGUGAUCGGUUCAGAGAUCAGGGCUGUGAUUCAGAGCAACCAAUGAUCAGAUGACUUGGAGGAUGGCCCAGUGCAUUGCAUGCAUCUGCAUCAUUCUCAUUUUGCAUUCAUCUGCAUCGAACCUACAUCUAGCCAUAUGGGGAGUAUUAUGGAUUGAGAAUCUGGUUGAGAGACAUCCGGAUGUCAGAAUGUUAUUGGUGAAAUAUUAUCCGUCUCGAUGAAACCAGAAUCAAAGGACGGAAUCUUCCUCAUAUGGGUAGAUGUUGCAUUCAUGCAUAUUAACCCAUUUGCUGUUUU